rnacentral:rRNA from 1 species
UACGUAGGGGCCUAGCGUUGUCCGGAUUUAUUGGGCGUAAAGAGCGCGUAGGCGGCCCUGUAAGUCCGCUGUGAAAGUCAAGGGCUCAACCCUUGGAUGCCGGUGGAUACUGCAGGGCUAGAGUCCGGAAGAGGCGAGUGGAAUUCCUGGUGUAGCGGUGAAAUGCGCAGAUAUCAGGAGGAACACCGAUGGCGAAGGCAGCUCGCUGGGACGGUACUGACGCUGAGGCGCGAAAGCGUGGGGAGCAAACAGG